rnacentral:rRNA from 1 species
UACGAAGGGGGCUAGCGUUGCUCGGAUUUACUGGGCGUAAAGGGCGCGUAGGCGGACAGUUAAGUCGGGGGUGAAAGCCCGGGGCUCAACCUCGGAAUUGCCUUCGAUACUGGCUGUCUUGAGUACGGGAGAGGUGUGUGGAACUCCGAGUGUAGAGGUGAAAUUCGUAGAUAUCGGGAGGAACACCAGUGGCGAAGGCGGCGAUCUGGGUCGAUACUGACGCUGAGGUGCGAAAGCGUGGGGAGCAAACAGG